UGGUCUUAGCUUGCUAAGGCCGAUGGCGACCGGGGCGCGGGUGAGUAACACGUAUCCAACCUGCCGUCUACUCUUGGACAGCCUUCUGAAAGGAAGAUUAAUACAAGAUGGCAUCAUGAGUCCGCAUGUUCACAUGAUUAAAGGUAUUCCGGUAGACGAUGGGGAUGCGUUCCAUUAGAUAGUAGGCGGGGUAACGGCCCACCUAGUCUUCGAUGGAUAGGGGUUCUGAGAGGAAGGUCCCCCACAUUGGAACUGAGACACGGUCCAAACUCCUACGGGAGGCAGCAGUGAGGAAUAUUGGUCAAUGGGCGAGAGCCUGAACCAGCCAAGUAGCGUGAAGGAUGACUGCCCUAUGGGUUGUAAACUUCUUUUAUAAAGGAAUAAAGUCGGGUAUGGAUACCCGUUUGCAUGUACUUUAUGAAUAAGGAUCGGCUAACUCCGUGCCAGCAGCCGCGGUAAUACGGAGGAUCCGAGCGUUAUCCGGAUUUAUUGGGUUUAAAGGGAGCGUAGAUGGAUGUUUAAGUCAGUUGUGAAAGUUUGCGGCUCA
rnacentral:rRNA from 1 species